rnacentral:rRNA from 1 species
GAUGAACGCUGGCGGCGUGCCUCAAACAUGCAAGUCGAGCGGGGCUAUGUAAUAUCGCAAGGUAGAACAUAGCCUAGCGGCGAACGGGUGAGUAACACGUGGGUAACCUGCCUGGAAGACAGGGAUAACGAUUCGAAAGGGUCGCUAAUACCUGAUAAUAUCCUUUCAUCGCAUGGUGAUAGGAAGAAAGGGGAAACCCGCUUUCAGAUGGGCCCGCGUCCCAUCAGCUAGUUGGUAAGGUAAAGGCUUACCAAGGCGACGACGGGUAGCCGGUCUGAGAGGAUGUACGGCCACACUGGGACUGAGAUACGGCCCAGACUCCUACGGGAGGCAGCAGUUGGGAAUCUUAGGCAAUGGACGAAAGUCUGACCUAGCGACGCCGCGUGAGGGAAGAAGGGCCUUCGGGUUGGUAAACCUCUGUCAUGGGGGAAGAAGUAAGUGACGGUACCCCAAGAGGAAGCCCCUGCUAACUACGUGCUAGCAGCCGCGGUAAAGAGUAGUACA